rnacentral:lncRNA from 1 species
UUUUGUUCACUCCAUACCCAGGGCCUGGAAGAAUGCCUGACCUAGAAGAUACCCAAUGGAUUCUUACGGCAGGAAUGUCCAAUGGGUGUUAGGGGUGAGGCUCAGGGAAUUAAGCACCUUGUGCUGGGUCACAGAGGCUGAAUUCCAGUAGCCAUUCUGCGUUGCAGCCCUUCAUCUAGAUGCUGUUCAUUAAGAGGAGUGCCCCCGCCCCCACCCACCAUGGGGCUGGCUGCUCACCAGCACCAUUAACAGUGUUUGGCACAUGCUGGACUCUCAAGAGGUCACUAAGCUAAGAAAAUAUAGCAUGUCCAUCUGGCCAGCUUCCCAGAUACAGCCUCAUGAAGUUCCAGCAUACAGAGAAGUGAAACGGGAGAAUGGAAUAAUCUGUUCAUUCUUUCGUUCAGUAUUUACUGAGCACCCACUAUGUGCUAGAUAUUGUUAUAGGUGCU